UACGGAAGGGGGCUAGCGUUGCUCGGAAUUACUGGGCGUAAAGCGCACGUAGGCGGCUUCUUAAGUCGGUGGUGAAAUCCUGGAGCUCAACUCCAGAACUGCCUUCGAUACUGGGAGCUCGAGUCCGGGAGAGGUGAGUGGAACUGCGAGUGUAGAGGUGAAAUUCGUAGAUAUUCGCAAGAACACCAGUGGCGAAGGCGGCUCACUGGCCCGGUACUGACGCUGAGGUGCGAAAGCGUGGGGAGCAAACAGG
rnacentral:rRNA from 1 species